AACUUCAUUGCACUUCCAGUCACUCAAUUUCACAAAAAAGAAGUUCAAACCCUCAAAUAGAAAAUUCCAAAAAAUUUAGGCAACUUAAUGUCACGAUCCCUAUGAUAUAAACAAAAGCCUAUAGAUAACUAAGCCCCACACGAGCUUGUGUUAUGCAUUUUUUUCAUGAAAUUCUUACAUACCAUCAUAGCCAUAUAGUUGUACUGAUUACUGACUGGGAAGAAAGAAAAUAACAUGUUCUGCCAAGUUUCUAGUUGUUCCAGCCAGUAAACUCAACUUUGGCGAGUAAAUUAAAAUAAUGUAUUUGUGCUACACAAGCAACAAUACAAGCCCUAACACCUGCAUGAAGCAAAUCAAAGAAAUUGUGUGUGUGUGUGUGUGUG
rnacentral:misc_RNA from 1 species